AUUAGUGGCGAACGGGUGAGUAACACGUGAGUAACCUGCCCUUGACUCUGGGAUAAGCGUUGGAAACGACGUCUAAUACCGGAUACGAGCUUCAGCCGCAUGGCUAGGAGCUGGAAAGAAUUUCGGUCAAGGAUGGACUCGCGGCCUAUCAGCUUGUUGGUGAGGUAAUGGCUCACCAAGGCGACGACGGGUAGCCGGCCUGAGAGGGUGACCGGCCACACUGGGACUGAGACACGGCCCAGACUCCUACGGGAGGCAGCAGUGGGGAAUAUUGCACAAUGGGCGCAAGCCUGAUGCAGCAACGCCGCGUGAGGGACGACGGCCUUCGGGUUGUAAACCUCUUUUAGCAGGGAAGAAGCGAAAGUGACGGUACCUGCAGAAAAAGCACCGGCUAACUACGUGCCAGCAGCCGCGGUAAUACGUAGGGUGCAAGCGUUGUCCGGAAUUAUUGGGCGUAAAGAGCUCGUAGGCGGUUUGUCGCGUCUGCUGUGAAAACGCGAGGCUCA
rnacentral:rRNA from 12 species